rnacentral:rRNA from 1 species
CCAGCAGCUGCGGUAAUUCCAGCUCCAAUAGCGUAUAUUAAAGUUGUUGCAGUUAAAAAGCUCGUAGUUGGAUUUCAGGGCUUGGCUUGUGGUCCGCCGAAAGGCGAGCACUGCGUGGUCGAGUCUUUUCUCCCGAGGACUGUGUGUGCCCUUAACUGGGUGUGCACGGGAGUCGGGGACUUUACUUUGAAAAAAUUAGAGUGUUCAAAGCAGGCGUUUUUGCUUGAAUACAUUAGCAUGGAAUAAUGGAAUAGGACUUUGGUUCUAUUUUGUUGGUUUCUAGGACCGAGGUAAUGAUUAAUAGGGACAGUUGGGGGCAUUAGUAUUAAAUUGUCAGAGGUGAAAUUCUUGGAUUUAUGAAAGACUAACUUCUGCGAAAGCAUUUGCCAAGGAUGUUUUCA